GCUUAACACAUGCAAGUCGAGCGGAAAGGCCCUUCGGGGUACUCGAGCGGCGAACGGGUGAGUAACACGUGAGCAACCUGCCCUAGGCUUUGGGAUAACCCUCGGAAACGGGGGCUAAUACCGAAUACGACCACCGGUCGCAUGGUUGGUGGUGGAAAGUUUUUCGGCCUGGGAUGGGCUCGCGGCCUAUCAGCUUGUUGGUGGGGUGAUGGCCUACCAAGGCGACGACGGGUAGCCGGCCUGAGAGGGCGACCG
rnacentral:rRNA from 1 species